rnacentral:rRNA from 1 species
GAUGAACGCUGGCGGCGUGCCUAAUACAUGCAAGUCGAGCGAACAGACGAGGAGCUUGCUCCUCUGACGUUAGCGGCGGACGGGUGAGUAACACGUGUAUAACCUACCUAUCAGACUGGGAUAACUUCGGGAAACCGGAGCUAAUACCGGAUAAUAUAUUGAACCGCAUGGUUCAAUAGUGAAAGACGGUUUUGCUGUCACUUCUCGAUGGAUCCGCGCCGCAUUAGCUAGUUGGUAAGGUAACGGCUUACCAAGGCAACGAUGCGUAGCCGACCUGAUAGGGGGAUCGGCCACACUGGAACGGGGACACGGUCAAGACUCCUACGGGAGGCAGCAGAAGGGAAUCGUCCGCAAUGGGCGGAAGCCUGACGGAGCAACGCCGCGUGAGUUAUGAAGGUCUUCGGAUCGGAAAACUCUGUUAUUAGGGAAGAACAAAUGUGUAAGUAACUAUGCACGUCUUGACGGUACCUAAUCAGAAAGCCACGGCUAACUACGUG